rnacentral:rRNA from 1 species
GAUGAACGCUGGCGGCGUGCCUAAUACAUGCAAGUCGAGCGAACGGACGAGAAGCUUGCUUUUUCUGAUGUUAGCGGCGGACGGGUGAGUAACACGUGGAUAACCUACCUAUAAGACUGGGAUAACUUCGGGAAACCGGAGCUAAUACCGGAUAAUAUUUUGAACCGCAUGGUUCAAAAGUGAAAGACGGUCUUGCUGUCACUUAUAGAUGGAUCCGCGCUGCAUUAGCUAGUUGGUAAGGUAACGGCUUACCAAGGCAACGAUGCAUAGCCGACCUGAGAGGGUGAUCGGCCACACUGGAACUGAGACACGGUCCAGACUCCUACGGGAGGCAGCAGUAGGGAAUCUUCCGCAAUGGGCGAAAGCCUGACGGAGCAACGCCGCGUGAGUGAUGAAGGUCUUCGGAUCGUAAAACUCUGUUAUUAGGGAAGAACAUAUGUGUAAGUAACUGUGCACAUCUUGACGGUACCUAAUCAGAAAGCCACGGCUAACUACGUGCCAGCAGCCGCGGUAAUACGUAGGUGGCAAGCGUUAUCCGGAAUUAUUGGGCGUAAAGCGCGCGUAGGCGGUUUUUUAAGUCUGAUGUGAAAGCCCACGGCUCAACCGUGGAGGGUCAUUGGAAACUGGAAAACUUGAGUGCAGAAGAGGAAAGUGGAAUUCCAUGUGUAGCGGUGAAAUGCGCAGAGAUGUGGAGGAACACCAGUGGCGAAGGCGACUUUCUGGUCUGUAACUGACGCUGAUGUGCGAAAGCGUGGGGAUCAAACAGGAUUAGAUACCCUGGUAGUCCACGCCGUAAACGAUGAGUGCUAAGUGUUAGGGGGUUUCCGCCCCUUAGUGCUGCAGCUAACGCAUUAAGCACUCCGCCUGGGGAGUACGACCGCAAGGUUGAAACUCAAAGGAAUUGACGGGGGCCCGCACAAGCGGUGGAGCAUGUGGUUUAAUUCGAAGCAACGCGAAGAACCUUACCAAAUCUUGACAUCCUUUGACAACUCUAGAGAUAGAGCCUUCCCCUUCGGGGGACAAAGUGACAGGUGGUGCAUGGUUGUCGUCAGCUCGUGUCGUGAGAUGUUGGGUUAAGUCCCGCAACGAGCGCAACCCUUAAGCUUAGUUGCCAUCAUUAAGUUGGGCACUCUAAGUUGACUGCCGGUGACAAACCGGAGGAAGGUGGGGAUGACGUCAAAUCAUCAUGCCCCUUAUGAUUUGGGCUACACACGUGCUACAAUGGACAAUACAAAGGGCAGCGAAACCGCGAGGUCAAGCAAAUCCCAUAAAGUUGUUCUCAGUUCGGAUUGUAGUCUGCAACUCGACUACAUGAAGCUGGAAUCGCUAGUAAUCGUAGAUCAGCAUGCUACGGUGAAUACGUUCCCGGGUCU